ACUGUUAUGCAGUGGCAGUAUCGUAGCCAAUAAGGUUUAUCCGAGGCGCGAUUAUUGCUAAUUGAAAAAUUACUGUUACAUACUAAGAAAGAAAAAUUCUACUAACACCCCUAAUAAUAAGACAACUCAUUGAAAAAGUCAGCACUU